GAUAGAGCAUUACAAUUCCUUGUGAACAGUGCCAUCAUUACCACCAUAGAACCAAUGGUCAACGGUCUCGGAACCAAAGGUUUUCCUAUGCCAUCGACAAAGGAUUUACAAUUCCAACAGUCUAAUAUUAAACUAUUGUCGAACACGGUCCUGAUUGACACUGAUUUGAAGUAUGCUCCUAAAUCAACUGUGCUGAAGUUUGUGCCUAUGAAUGAACGAUACCUGGCGAUUGAAAUUUGAUCAAUGAAGUUAUAGUGUGUGUGUGAAUGAGAAAUACAUAUUGGAUGUUUUGAAUGACAUUUUAAUUUGUUUGUCCCAUAAAAUACAGUACAUGGUUAAGUUUACUCUACAAUACCACAGGUUUUCAACAAUAUGAUAUCCACAAUGUCUAAAUAUGAAUUUUAUUAACCA